rnacentral:rRNA from 1 species
GAUGAACGCUGGCGGCGUGCCUAAUACAUGCAAGUCGAGCGAACAGACGAGGAGCUUGCUCCUCUGACGUUAGCGGCGGACGGGUGAGUAACACGUGGAUAACCUACCUAUAAGACUGGGAUAACUUCGGGAAACCGGAGCUAAUACCGGAUAAUAUUUUGAACCGCAUGGUUCAAUAGUGAAAGACGGCUUUGCUGUCACUUAUAGAUGGAUCUGCGCCGCAUUAGCUAGUUGGUAAGGUAACGGCUUACCAAGGCAACGAUGCGUAGCCGACCUGAGAGGGUGAUCGGCCACACUGGAACUGAGACACGGACCAGACUCCUACGGGAGGCAGCAGUAGGGAAUCUUCCGCAAUGGGCGAAAGCCUGACGGAGCAACGCCGCGUGAGUGAUGAAGGUCUUCGGAUCGUAAAACUCUGUUAUUAGGGAAGAACAAAUGUGUAAGUAACUAUGCACGUCUUGACGGUACCUAAUCAGAAAGCCACGGCUAACUACGUG